rnacentral:rRNA from 1 species
GGAAUUAUUGGGGGCGUAAGCGCGCGCAGGUGGUUUCUUAAGUCUGAUGUGAAAGCCCACGGCUCAACCGUGGAGGGUCAUUGGAAACUGGGAGACUUGAGUGCAGAAGAGGAAAGUGGAAUUCCAUGUGUAGCGGUGAAAUGCGUAAAGAUAUGGAGGAACACCAGUGGCGAAGGCGACUUUCUGGACUGUAAAUGACACUGAGGCGCGAAAGCGUGGGGAGCAAACAGGAUUAAUAC